GCCGGGGUGGCGAAAUUGGUAGACGCACGGGACUCAAAAUCCCGCGGUAGCAAUACCGUGUCGGUUCGAGUCCGACCCCCGGCACCA
rnacentral:tRNA from 1 species